CUUUAUAGUACCUAUUCCAGUCCGAUUGCGAGAUUAAAAUUAGCUAUAAUUCUGCAUAUAAGAUACCAAAAUCUAUUCUGGUAUCUUGUGGGGUGAUAGCACAA
rnacentral:snoRNA from 16 species